UUCUCAAGCACCAGAAGAAGCAACAAUAAACAAGCUGGAGGGAUAACUUUCUCUCAGAUUCUCAAAGAUAGAUGAUCAUGACACCAAAAGAUGGAUAUAUCUGUAUGCGAAAUUAUAACUGAUCUUGAGCUAUUCCAGAAGUACUUGUGUUGUGUUAUAUUUGCUGCAAAAUUAUGUUGGGGCUGUCAUGAACUGUUGUUGCUGCGAAAGAUCAUGUUGUCAUGAUAAAUUAUGAUUCCUGGGAUUUGGGAUUCGAAGUCAUGUUGUUAUGAUAAAUUAUGAUGUUGUUGUGAUGAUAUAUUGAUAAUGCUGCUAAAUUAUUCCCCUGUAGCAGCUUUUCUCAUUUUUAUUAGGUGGCCUUUACAAUUCUGUAGCAAGGAUAUAAGGGAGUUAGUUACAUUGUAAAGAUUGAAUUUUUAGAUGUUCUACACCAUGUUAUGUCAAUCUGACAAACCCUGCCUACCAAACAGAAAUUUUAAACGAAGAGGAUUGGGGAUGGAGGGGUUUUGGGGAUUCAAGGGGUUUUGAGGGGAUUGGGUGGAAGGGAGGGAUUCACCAAAUCCUCCCAAAUCCCCGCCUCCGAAAUCCUCCCAAAUCCCUUUGUGCCAAACAAGGCCUAAGGGUUGUUGCUAUUUGUGGUGAUUAUGCAUGACCCAAGCUUGCUCUUUAUCCUCUUGGUGGAAGAAGUUUUCAUCUCUUUGGUGCUCUCAAUCAAAUCAAUGGUUUCCAUUAGUGGCCGGUUGUCACCUCAUAGUCUUGAGAUGUUUUCCAUAAGCCCACAACAAGCUUGUGCUUCUCGUUGUUGAUUUUCCAACAACUACGUUCGAUUCUUCUUUGCAAGGAUUCUUUCCAAGUUCAUUUGUGGCACAAGUUGUCAUUUUCUUCUCCGUCCCUUUAUCCCAACGGUCUAGCUUCUAUUCUUUCGUUACGAAGGCAUUGUGAUGUUGUGCUCUUCACCCAUCACCUCGUUUUGUGAGGAUCGUGUUCUUUUCUUGCUUAUCCAUUUAACAGGAGUGUUGUAUCAUCUCUUCAAUAUCUUUUCAUCUCAUCAAGUUUUUCUUCUCUUUUCUACCGGAGUGCUGUCCAAAUUAUGUCAUUCUUGUUCCUUGGCUAUCUCAUUAUACCGAGGUGGUCAUAUUCUUUUCGUUCGUGAAGCUCUUAUUUCCAUAUCUUUCAACCUUCAAGUUCUCGUAAUACUCCUUGUUCCUCUUUUCUAACAGAUUGUUUGCAAUCUCGUUCAUCUCUGUUGUACUCUUUCUUCUAAAUUUCUCAACCUCUCAAGGUUCAUGGUUUCACUCGUUCGUCAAAGAAGCAACUUAGUUUACCUCUUAUCUUCCUCUUCCUUUUCCCUCCGGUGCCAUCCUAGAUCUCGGGACAAGAUCCUCUCAUAGUGGUGGAGUGUUGUAACGCCCCGGAUACAACUUUCCAUAUUCGUAACUCCAACUCUUGCCUUUUCCGGAGAUGCGAUAUGAUUUUUCCUUCGUGGUUGGGUUUUUAUCUUUGGUUUUGCUUUUGUUCAUGUCUUGCAUUUCAUAUCAUAGCAUCAUGCGCAUUGCAUCCGCAUGUUUUCAUAAAACCUCAUACCCAUUCGUAGUUGCCGCAUUCCCCUUGCCUCCUUUGACCGUUCUGAGACCAACCACCCCCUUGCACGCGAUCGCCUUGUUUCUCUGCAUAGCGCAUAGACCCCUCGCGCGUGUCCGAAACCAUCUUCCGAACCCGACCCGCACGGUCAUAACCGAUGAGUCCGAAUCAUCCCCCAACAUCUAUAAAACAUCUCCGUUUUCGUUUUUGGACCCCCUAGCCUAUUUUUCUCGACCGCCCGAUUUCGAUCGGACGUACCAAAUUAACCCCUACCCUAAUCCCCUUAUUGUAUAAAUAGUCGCCUAACCCUAGAUCCUAGGGGCUUGUCCCAUCCAUUCCCCUCCUUGCACCGCCACUAGCUCCACCUGGUCUCCUUCUUCCUCGGGAUCCCUCCCGAUCCCCUCGAUUCACCUAGCCAGCGCCUCCUCCUCAAUUUCAGCGCCACCAAACCAAAUCACGGCAGCCGAGCGCCUUCCCCUUCCUCUGCCAGCUCGAUCUCCCGCAUCCCCGACUCCCGAGCUCCUUGAUCGUCGCCAGCGCACCCAGCAGAUGAGCGACGUCCCUGCUCCUUUUUCCUCCCUCCUCUGCUCCUCUCUCACUGCUCUUCUCCCCACCCCCCGUUUCUUUCUCUACAGGAGGAAAGCACCACGCCACGGCCUCCCCAAGCUCUACUUCAUCCCCGUCUUGGGUCCAUGAGGAGACAACCACGCCGGCCGCCCUUCCCCAUCUCGAUCGGGUCCAGGACCCCGCCGCCUCCAGCCAUCUCUCCGCGGUCAUGGCCCUGAUGGGGGUUCCCUGCCCCGAGCCUCUGUCACGACCAGCACCCGACCAGCAGGUCACCAGCGCGCCCGAUGCCUCCUCCUCGGGCAUGCCUGGCCGCGCCACCGGACCCCCAGGUCGUCCCGCUCCCUGCCAUCUCCCUCCUCUCGCUUUCUCUGCCUCCUCUAGAUGCCUCUCACCUCUCGGCCUCUCUCUCUGUUCAAGAAGGAGCACACCAGCGCCAUGGAAGCCUCCCGAUGGACCCCGGCCUCCUCCCCGCCUCACCGGAGCAAGCCAGCAGGCAGGUCGCCCUUCUCGCGCCCCAGCCCUCUCUCUUUUCCCCCUCUCCAUCUCACCGUCUCUCUCUCUAAUCUCUCCGCUCUCUCUUCCUUUGCCCAGAGGAACCCCCAUGGACGCCAUGUUCGAGCUUUGCCUCACUGCCGUUUUGCGCCCGUACCAGCCGGGAAAUGGAUGGAUCCGUCUUCCCCGUGUUCAUCCUCAUGCCGCUCCAGCCCCGCUCUAGUCCCGCGCCAAGUUGUCGUCCCCUUCCUCUCCUGAAGCCGUCGCCCCGCCAAGUACCUCGUCCUCCUCUACUUCGAGCAGGAGGACAAGACGCCCCGAUCUGCGCCUCCCCUUGCCGGAUUUGGACCCCGGCGCCUCCCCGCGCUCCGUUCCGCCCGUUCCGGCCGGUUCCAGCCGAUUCUGUCGCCAGGACACCCCCUGCGUCUUCCUCUCCAUCGCCAUGGUCCUGCUGCUGCUUGUGUUCUUCAGAAACGAGAGCAACAGCUUGCUCAUUCCGAGCGUUGACCGCACCUGCAGUGCCUGGGCCAGCAGCCUCCAAGCCCAGCAACCAGCCUCCCAGCGCCCUCUCCACCGAACGGGCCAAGGCCCAUGGGUGAGCCGCCCCUCCAGUUCCCCUGUUCCUGUUGGGCCAGCAAGUUUUAGCCCUGGAUGUUUUUUUUACCUGUCUGCGAAUUUGCUAAUUAUCCAGAGUAUUGCAGUUUUACAGAAAACCUCUGUUCUUCAUGCAUUUAAUAACUCACAAACCAUGCAUCGGAUUAAAAUGAUUUUAACAUGUAAAAUGCUUAGAAUUUCAUCUAGUUUCAUAAUAUUCAAUUUCUAUCCAUGUAUGAAAUGUUUAAACUGCUGUUUGUUUAAAUUUGCUCAAAUACCAUGCUAAAAUGAUUUAUUUCAUAACUAAUUAACCGUAGCUCCAUUUUAAAUAAACUUUAUAUGUAAAUGGGGUGGAAAAAUGCCUAGUUUAACAUGGUGGAUUUUAUUUUCCUAUUUAACAACCUUAAAAUAUGGUUUAGGGAAGAACAGUACCAAAUUCAUAAUUUGCAUAUGGGGAUUUUUCCGGAAUUGUUGUUUGUUGUUUCCGGCCUCAUUUAAACUUGCCUAGAUAGGUAGUUUCAUUAUGCUUCACCCCUUGCCAUGUUUAACAACAUUUAAUAUUGUUGAGUAGCUUAUACGAGAUUAAACUAAAUAUGUCAAUGUGGUGUUUUGUCAAUAUGCAACUCGUUGCAUAUUGAGCUCCACUUAACUUGUAGUAUUGUUUGUUGCACUUUGCCAUGCCCUGCCUCAUUAAACCAGACAUGCAUCAUACUUGUUUGUGCAUCAUGCCAUGCUUAUGAUUGUGCAUUUACCAUGUUGUUUGUUUCUUUCCAGUGUUGCUUCUUAGUUCCAGUAAUGUUGCGAUUGUGAGGAUUCGUUCGACUACUCCCGUUCGUCUUCUUCAUGGACUCGUUCUUCUUCCUAGCGGAAUUUCAGGCAAGAUGACCGCUACCCUGGAUCUCACUACUAUCAUUGCUAUGCUAGUUGCUUCGUUCUAUCGCUUUGCCCUGCUACCUAUCUCUUGUUGAUCAAGCCACCCAAAUUGCCAUGUCAGCCUCUAACCUUUUCACCCUUCCCAGCAAACCGUUUCUUGGCUAUGUUACUGCUUUACUCAGCCCCUCUUAUAGCGUUGUUAGUUGCAGGUGAAGUUGAAGAUUGCUCCAUGGUGGACAUGAUUAUGUUGGGAUAUCACAAUAUCUCUUAUUUAAUUAAUGCAUCUAUAUACUUGGUAAAGGGUGGAAGGCUUGGCCUUAUGCCUGGUGUUUUGUUCCACUCUUGCCACCCUAGUUUCCGUCAUACCGGUGUUAUGUUCCCGAAUUUUGCAUUCCUUACGCGGUUGGGUGAUUUAUGGGACCCCCUUGACAGUUCGCUUCGAAUAAAACUCCUCCAGCAAGGCCCAACCUUAUUUUUACCAUUUGCCUCACCACCGCCUAUACCCUUCCCUUGGGUCGGCCAACCCGAGGGUCAUGUUUAUUUUAGCCCCCCCCCCCCCGGGCCAGUGCUUCUCUAAGUGCUGGUCCAAACCGAGCAACCUGCAGGGCCACCUCGGGGAAACUCGAGGUCUGGUUUUACUCGUAGCUUGACUUAUCCGGUGUUGCCCUGAGAACGAGAUAUGUGCAGCUCCUAUGGGGAUUGUCGGCACAUCGGGCAGCUUUGCUGGUCUUGUUUUACUGUUGUCGAAAUGUCUUGUAAACCGGGAUUCAGAGACUGAUCGGGUCUUCCUGGGAGAAGGAAUAUCCUUCGUUGACCAUGAGAGCUUGUGAUGGGCUAAGUUGGGACACCCCUGCAGGGUAUAAACUUUCGAGAGCCGUGCCCGCGGUUAUGUGGUAGAUGGGAAUUUGUUAAUGUCCGGUUGUAGAUAACUUGACACCAGAUCCGAAUUAAAAUGCAUCAACCACGUGUGUAGCCAUGAUGGUCUCUUUUCGGCGGAGUCCGGGAAGUGAACACGGUUUUUGGGUUAUGUUUGACGUAAGUAGGAGUUUAGGAUCACCUCUUGAUCAUUGCUAGCUUCAUGACCGUUCUGUUUGCUUCUCUUCUAGCUCUCAUUUGCGUAUGUUAGCCACUAUAUAUGCUUAGUCGCUGCUGCAACCUCACCACUUUACCCCUUCCUUUCCCUUUACGCGUUGCUAGUCUUGAUACCCAUGGUAAUGGGAUUGCUGAGUCCUCGUGGCUCACAGAUUACUACAACAACAGUUGCAGGUACAGUUAUGUGAUGAUCAUGACACGAGAGCGAUGUUUGCUUGUUUUGGAGUUCUCCUUCUGCUUCUUCUUUGUUUAGGGGAUAGGUUCCAGGUCGGCGGCCUGGACUAGCAGGGUGGAUAUCAUUUGAGUUUCUGUUUGUGUUUCAUCCGUAGUCGGAUGGUGCUCUUAUGUAAGAUGAUGUUGUAUUCGUGUGGCAUUGUAUGCCUUUUGUAUGUAUCCCCAUCUAUUAUGUAAUGUUGAUGUAAUGAUAUCCACCUUGCAAAAGCGUAUCAAUAUGCGAUUCUAUCCUUGGUGGGACCUUCGAGUCUCUUUAGGAUAGUAUCGCAUAUUGGGCGUGACAUCGGAACUCCAUGCAGACAUACGAUCCUGGUCAUGUAUAUUUUUGCCAACUUAGCACUGGUGUAAAUGGUCUUCACUCGGAUGAAAUGAGCUACCUUCGUCAAACGAUCGACUACAACCCAUAUCGAGUCAUAGCCUGAACGAGUCUUGGGCAAUCCUGUGGUAAAAUUCAUGCCUAGCUUAUCCCACUUCCAUUCGGGUAUCGGCAAUGGUUGUAGCAAUCCUGCUGGCUUCUGAUGCUCUUCCUUCACUCUCUGACAUACAUCACAAACUGCUACAUACUCCACAAUAUCCUUCUUCAUUUCGGUCCACCAGAAACUGUCCUUCAAAUCUAGAUACAUCUUGGUAUUUCCUGGGUGAAUCGAAUACGACGAAUCAUGGGCCUCUUGCAGAAUCAGCUUCCUGAUCUCUGGAUCAUUUGGCACAUAUACACGGUCCUCAAACCAUAAGGUAUUGUGCUCAUCCUCAUGAAAUCCCUUAGCUUUUCCUUUGCCCAUCCUUUCCUUUAUCUCGGCAAUCUCCUUGUCCGUCUUCUGAGCUUCUCUGAUCUUAUCCAUCAAAGUAGAUUGAAUCUCCAAUGCUUCUACAUAGCCUCUUGGUACUAUCUCAAUACAUAGCUUACGAAGAUCCUCUGCUAACUCCUUGGGUAACUCCCCGGUCAUGAGUGUAUUGACAUGGCUCUUGCGGCUCAACGCAUAGGCUAGUACGUUAGCCUUUCCGGGAUGAUAGUGCAAUCUCAUAUCUUAAUCCUUGAUGAGAUCCAAACAUGUCCUCUGUCUGAGAUUCAACUCCUUCUGCGUGAAGAUAUACUUCAAACUCUUGUUAUCCAUGUACACCUCACAAUGGUUUCUGAUGAGAAAGUGUCUCCAAGUCUUCAACGCAUGCAUUAUGGCUGCUAACUCCAAAUCGUGUGUAGCAUAAUUCAACUCAUGGGGUUUGAGCUGCCGUGAGGCAUAUGAAACAACUCUUCCCUCCUGCAUAAGCACUGCUCCAAGUCCUCGGCGAGAAGCGUCGCAAUACACUUGAUAAUCCUUGCGUUGAUCUGGAAGAAUCAACACUAGAGCUGUAACCAAGCGUUUCUUCAACUCUUGAAAACUGGCCUCACAUUCCUCAGUCCAUUUGAACUUGGUGUCCUUCUUCAACAACUCCGUCAUGGGAUUUGCAAUCUUCGAGAAAUUCUCAAUGAACCUUUGGUAGUAUCCUGCAAGUCCCAGAAAACUCCAGAUCUCUUCAACUGUCGUGGGUGCUUCCCAAUUUGUCACAGUGACAACCUUGGUGGGGUCUACUGCUAUUCCUUCUCCGGAUAUAACAUGUCCGAGGAAUCCAACUUCCUUCAACCAAAACUCACACUUGCUGAACUUGGCAUAUAACUGAUGUUCUCUGAGCUUCCCAAGUACCAAACGCAAAUGCUCCUUAUGCUCCUGUUCAUUCUUCGAGUAGACUAAUAUGUCAUCAAUGAACAGCACGACGAACUUAUCCAAAAACUCCAUAAACACCUUGUUCAUCAUGUUCAUGAAAUAGGCAGGUGCGUUAGUCAGACCAAAUGACAUAACGGUAUACUCAUAUAGCCUGUACCUUGUGGUAAAAGUUGUCUUAGGUAUAUCCUGCUCUCGAAUCUUCAGUUGGUGGUAUCCUGACCGCAGAUCGAUCUUGGAAAAUACUUUAGCUCCUUGCAACUGGUCGAACACAUCAUUGAUCAUCGGCAGUGGGUACUUGUUCUUGAUUGUCACUUCAUUCAAUCCACGAUAAUCAACAACCACCCUCAAUGAUCCAUCCUUCUUCUCCACUAGAAGCACUGGUGAUCCCCAAGGUGACGAACUUGGGUGAAUAUAGCCUUUAUCCAGUAACUCCUUAAUAUGCUUCUUAAUUUCCUCCAAAUCCUUUGCGGGCAUCAUGUACGGUCUUUUAGAUAUUGGCCCUGUGCCUGGCAAAAUCUCAAUCAAAACUCAAUGUCUCUAUCCGGUGGCAUGCCUGGCAACUCUUCUAGAAAUACAUCAGGGAAAUCCUUCACCACUGGUACUUCCUCCUGUAUAACUCCUGAUAAGGAAUUCACUUGAGUCCUCUUCGGCACAUGCCGGGAUACAUACUUAAUCCUCCUUCCUUCUGGGGUGGUAAGCAUAAUCGACUUACUGGCGCAAUUGAUGUUCCCUCCAUACAUCGAUAACCAAUCCAUACCCAAUUCACAUCCAAACCUUGCGACUCUAGAAUUAUCAGGUCUGAGGGUAAAACAUGCCUACCUAUGGUCAAAGGCAUCUAAAAACAUCCUUGGCUUGACAUAUGUUCCGCUCCUGGCAAGCUUACCAACAUAGGUGUUCUAAGAACCUUGGUCGGCAGUUUAUACUUAUCCACAAAUCCCCUUGAUAUGUAUGAAUGUGAUGCACCAGUAUCAAAAAGAAUGAUUGCAGUAAAUGACUUAACCAAAAACUUACCUAUUAUUGCAUCUGGCUGGGCUUCAACCUCCUCCACGUUAACGUGGUUCACUUGUGCCCUGUUGAAAGGGUUGGGCUUCUUCUCAGAGCUUCCAUUGCCAUUUCCAUUCUUUGCUUCAGAACACUCCGUGGCAUAAUGUCCAUUCUUCCCGCACUUGAAACAAGUAAUGUGACUUAGAUCCUUCUUGGCGGGCGUUGCUGGGUUGGAACGGUUCUGACCGUUACUUCCUCCAUUACCAUUCCCAUUCCUGGGGCCACUAUGGUUAUGCGAACUCCCUCCAUUGUGAUUGUGACCUCCAUAGUUAUGUUGAAGGGGUCCUCCCGAGUUCGGGGUAAAACGGGGUCUCUGCGAUGCUCCAGAAUUGUACUUCCCUUGUCCAUACUUCCUCUUGCGGUUGUCAAUCUGCUGCUGCUUCCCUUCAAUCAUGCGAGCUCUAUCUACCAACUCCUGGUAGUUGUUGAAGGUUUCCACCAUCAACUGCAUGCUCAGCUCAUCAUUCAGUCGUUCCAGAAACUUCUCCUGCUUAGCCGCAUCUGUAGCGACGUCAUCUCGGGCAUAACAUGCUAACUUACGAAAAUCAUCCACAUACUGGCCCACUAUGCAUCCUCCUUGGCACAAGUUGCAAAACUCGCACUUCUUCAUGGCCAUAGCUCCUGCUGAAACAUGGGCAGUGUGAAAAGCUUGCUGAAACUGGUCCCAUGUGACAGUGUUGAUGGGGUAGGUGGCUGUGAAAUUCAUCCACCAUGAUGCUGCGGGUCCAUCAAGCUGAUGUGCGGCAAAAUGCACUCUCUCCGCAUCUGUGCAUCCUGUAGUGGUCAACUCCCUUCCACUCUUAUGGAGCCAAUCAUCUGCACAAUCGGAUUGGUACUACUAGAGAACACCGGCGGAUUCAGCCUUAAGAAAUGGGCUAAGUGAUCAACAGGUGGUGUUGGUGGUGGGUUGUUGUUGUUGUUGUUCCCCUGGUUAUGAUUCUGGACUAGUAUCUGCAUCGAAGCAUUCUGCUGCUGGAUUAACUGAGUGAGCUCUGGCGGGAAAGCAAAUCCAUUGUCGCAUCUCGGAGGCAUCUGACGGGUUUAGAAAAGAUGAGAAAACAGAAUAGAAUGAGGUAUAUAGGGAAAUCACUACCCAUACGCACAUGAGACAAACAUAAACAAUACCACUUCAAUCAAUUCAAACAAGGGCAUACAUCGGUCUAACUAUCAUUAAAAAAGUGCUCAGACUAUACUAUAUACAUGGGGGAAUACUACUACUGAUAUGGUGGUUGUCGGUGUCAAAACCGGCGGAUCUCGGUUAGGGGGUCCCGAACUGUGCGUCUAGGCGGAUGGUAACAGGAGACAAGGGACACAAUGUUUUUACCCAGGUUUGGGCCCUCUCGAUGGAGGUAAAACCCUACUCCUGCUUGAUUAAUAUUGAUGAUAUGGGUAGUAUAAGAGUAGAUCUACCACGAGAUCAGAGUGGCUAAACCCUAGAAGCUAGCCUAUGGUAUGAUUGUUGUUCGUCCUAUGGACUAAAACUCUCCGGUUUAUAUAGACACCGGAGAGGGCUAGGGUUACACAGAGUCAGUUACAAUGGGAGAAGAUCUUCAUAUCGUAUCGCCAAGCUUGCCUUCCACGCCAAGGAAAGUCCCAUCCGGACACGGGACGGAGUCUUCAAUCUUGUAUCUUCAUAGUCCGGGAGUCCGGCUAAAGGUCUUAGUCCGGCCAUCCGGACACCCCCUAAUCCAGGACUCCCUCAGUAGCCCCUGAACCAGGCCUUAAUGACGACGAGUCCGGCGUGCAAGUUGUCUUCGGCAUUGCAAGGUGGGUUCCUCCUCCGAAUAUUCCAUAGAAGAUGUUGAACACCAGGGUAGUGUUCGGCUCUGCAAAAUAAGUUCCACAUUCCACCAUAGAGAGAAUAAUAUUUGCAUCAAUCGGAUCUGCUGACAUAUUCCGCGGCGUGACAUCAUGCCACGGCCAGGCUUUUAUUCAUUUUACUGUUCCACCUCAGCGCGUUUAGCGAGGCGGUUUCCUUGGCACGUCUUGUCAAAGCAGAGAUCGUGUCCCCUUAUUCCAGGAUUCUCAUCAAUACGGGCGUGGGUAACCCAACUGUGACUUAGGUAUGACUCCCUAAUUGAAAGCGAGUCUGAAACGGUUACGGGGAGGGCUCUUGGUAUUCACCUCCUUUAUAAAGGAACCAAGGCCUGGCUCCCUUCUUCUCAAACCAAUCAAAUCCGCCCCUCGCUUUGAGUUCCAACACCCAAAGCUCUAGUUUUAGGCGCUUCGGACUUUUGACGAUGUCCGGCUCCGACCUUCAAGGCCGGUGGAUGCCUUCCUCCAUUACGGAAGAAGAUGUACGAAAGCUGAGAGAUGCCAGGUAUCUAACCGACGAAAUCUCGCAUAGACUGCCUGCUCAAGGGCAAGCUGUUCCCGCUCCCCAGCCUGGUGAAAGCAUGGUGUUCGCAUCUCACUUCCUUCGGGGGCUAGGCUUCCCGAUCGAUCCCUUUGUGAGGGGACUUAUGUUUUACUACGGGCUGGAGUUCCACGACCUAGCUCCGGAGUCCAUCCUCCAGAUCUCAUCAUUCAUUGUCGUGUGUGAGGCCUUCCUCCAUAUCACCCCUCACUUCGGAUUGUGGCUAAAAACUUUCGAAGUGGAACCGAAAAUGGUCGAGGGGCAGCACGCUGAGUGCGGAGGGGCUAUAAUAAGCAAGAUGGACGAUGCUCCAUGGCCCGAAGGCUCUUUUCAAGAGGAGCUCGGCUUAUGGCAACGGGACUGGUUUUACAUCACAGCCCCUAGGGGCACCACAUGGGUGGCACCACCUAAUUUUCGCUCGGGUCCCCCACCAUGGCUGGCGUCAUGGGUUAAUGAAGGACUUAUCUGGGGGCCGCCCAAAGACGUGCCCUUGCUGCAGGGUCGUAUUCGAGAUCUUCUAGAAAGAGAUAUCAAUUUGACCGUAGUGGCGGAAGUCAUGGUGAUUCGCCGCACACUGCCCUGCAAAUGUCGACCUCUCCGCUAGUGGGAGUUCAAUCCGGAGGGACCACGAGUCCUACAACAUUUCAUGGGAAUGACACCCGUGGAGAUGUACAAAUUGUUCUUCGGAUCACAAGCAAGGUGUCCAGAUUUGUCCGAGGACGCAGGUCUGAGCUGCAAUCGCCCGGAUGCCAAAGUAAGUAGCCCCGUAUUUGGAUACACCAUCCAUAUUUUUAUCAAAUCUACCCUUUAGCAGGGUUGUCCUUUGAACAGGAGUGGAUGGCGAAGGCAAAGCUUAUCAGGUGUCCAGCCCCCCUGCCCGAGACCGUGCCGAAUCCCAUGCUGACCAGCAUGCUAGAGGUCGCGCCGUUGGCGGAAGGCGAAGGGGGGAACCAAGGACCUACCGCCUCCGCGAAGGAGGCCGUUAGGAAGGGAAGAAUCGAGAAUUCCCCCGACUAGGGAAAGAAAAGGACUGCCUCUGAAGACCCGGAGGUGAUAACCUCAAAACGGGGAAAGAAAUCUUUGUCAGAGGGUUCGGCACCGGAGAGCGCCCCGGCCGAAUCGCCCCCUAAAGGGGACCCGCUCUCCCCCGAGAUGUAAGUGAAGGGAGGGGUUCCAUAAUGAAUCACACUCAUGUUUUAUUCUUGAGGAAAAUAACCGAAACAUUAUCUUGCAGUUCGGAUCUCAACCCUUCUCAGCAGAGCUCAUCUUCAGGGGAUCUUCGUCCAGAGAUGAUAGAGAGCGAAAUGCCUCCCCUUGUUGCACCGUCUCACGAGGCUGGCGACCCCGAGGUAUCGUCCCAGAGGGUUUUUUCAAGUCCGGACCCUGGAAAAGGUCGUCAGGCUAGUCCGGCACCCUCUUGUGCACCGAUGGAGGGGCUGAAGGAUCUGCUUGGUAGGGCAUCCAUCUCAGAAGAACACCGUAUGUUGAUGGAUACGGUGAUUGGAAGGAUUUCAUCCGUGGAAAGCGGAUUGUACGAGGCUACCAGAAGUUUACUAACAGGCUUUGAGGUACGUAAAAAGGUGUACCUUUUGGUAGAGCCGCAUAUUAAAUGUGCCCUGUAUGAAUAGUAGCCCCUGAGACUCUGUGUGUCGUCACGAGUGACGGCGCACAGAGGAUCAUAACCCCAGGUAUAAUAUGUCGCCUAUUCCAUGAAGGUGGCGAGGCGUUCGGUGGCUAGCCGGACUGAUGAAUCUGCCGAACUAAAGCGGCAACUUGACGUAGCAGAUGCCGACAUCGCGCUUGUAAAUAAGCGGCUAGACGAGGCUCAAGGUAUGUUCAAAAGACACCCAGUAAUAAGAGCUCGAUGCUCGGGCCUUAUAUAUAUAUAUACUUUAUGUAGAUGGUGCUACUGCCGCGGAGAACCUUCGGGCGGAACUUGCCCGAGCCAAGGAGCAAGCAAGGAAAAGUGAUGCGGCUGCCGUUAAAGCGGCUGAAGAGCUAAAAGCCAAACAGGCUGCUCACUGCCAGAGCAAGAAGGAAAUAGCCGAGAUGGCCAUAAAUUUGAAGGAUGCUACCGACCGCUAUAAAUUUCUUGAACAAGAAGAUAGGGCGGCUCAGAAGGACCUUGAAAAGAUCACUGCCGAAGCCAAGGAUACUCGCUCUGCAAUGAGAGCGAUGAAGGAGGAGCUGCGUCAGGCCGGAGAUAUCACGGCUGGAAAGCCUUAUAUGCUGUGGAUGAAGUUCGGAGACCCCAAGUAUGUUCCAUUAGACCGGCAGUGGAGUGCAUAAAACGCUUAUCUGGAUUUGGCAGCAAGUGCGGCGGACGCAACCGAACACUUCCGCUGUCGAGGUGACCAUGAAUUGGAAGAGCUUUUUUGGUCGCAGUACCACAAUCCAGAAUGCCCACUGUCAGUAUCCGACCAUUUAGCCGCCUUGGCGGAGCUGAACAGGUUAUCCGGACUCGCCAUGAGGUAUGUUGCGAGUCGUCUGUGGCCGGAGAAGCCGGAGCCGAAGAGUUAUUUUGGCUUGGUGCAGCAGUUCCUUGGUUCGGUGCCGCAUGCUGAUGCAAUGAAGAGGUCGGCGUGCAUAAAGGGCGCACAGAUGGCUCUUGCCCGUGUCAAAACAUACUGGGCAGAUAUGAAGGCCAGUAUUGUUGCGUCCCAGGAUUCGGACGAAAGCCGAGUACCUGCCAAGCACUAUUUUGAGGAAGUUCUUCAUGGCGCUCGUAUAAUAGAGUCGCAGUGCUCGAAGGAUGUUGUGUUCGAAUAGCUUAUACUAUUUGUAAAACGAAUUUUGUUUUUAUGAAAAAAGCUUUUUAUGCUUGUGCUUGCAAGAAUCAUGAUGCCUCAUGUGCGGCCAUUUAAUGUAUAUAUUUGUAUAUAACCUGAAAGAUGGCAGUCGUUGGCUUCAGCCCCCACGCAUAGAAUGCGGGGGUGUUCGCAAAAAAGCGCCUUUUCACACUUAAUCCAACGUCUUGGUCCUACAAAGGAGGUGGUGGCGCGGCGAACUAGGCAACCGGACUAUAAUGCUUUAUCACUUUCACUUAGCCAUAGGAGUUUGACAGUGGGGCUACUGAAUAGCCCCUAGGGGCACCGCGCUCGCCCGAAUUCGGGGCACGAGUGUGCCUGACCGGGAAGCGGCCCUUCGUUAAUGCGGGGGAAUCCUAAAGAUUCCGAAAGUCAUCAAGUGGUUGACCAGUCUCUCGCUAUAUCAUGACAGUUAGUUUUCGGCUUUCUCUACUGAGGUGCUCACCUGGCCGAACCGGGGCACAAUCGCAGUAGUUCUCCUGGUGCCGCGUUAGCCGAUAUAACCGGAACGUAAGGCAGCAAAACAUAGGAGCCGGGCAAACCCAACAUUUGACCAAAGACAUGAUUAGGAGCUGAUGCAUAUAGGGCCAAACUCGGGACGCCGAACACUCCCUAAGGUAUUCGGUCUUUAUGAAGACGGGCCGAAAUAGAGCCCUUGGUAAAAAAGCCCGUAGUGUCCAGGUACGUGCAAAAAUUCUGGCAUGGCCACAUGCCAAGAUGCCAGCCUCCUCCUCGGCUAUAGAGAAAACCGGGGGAUGUUAUCAACAAGAGACAGUAAAAAAGGUUUACGCAGGGUCUUAAUCUGAAAAGAAUCCUUGAAACGGGUCCCUGCUGCACGUCUGCGCCUGUGUCUCCGUUGUGCCGUAUCCUGGACGGGCGUAGCACGAUGUUCGUCUGCGAAAGAGAGGAACUUAGUAAAAUAAGCGUGCGAGAAAUCUAUAUCGAAAUAAAUAAAAUAUAGUUGGAGCAAGAGUUGAGCCGUAUUGUCUCCGGGCGUGAGCACACGAAGCCCCUUGCACGGGGGUAUGCGGCUAUUAAGCAUGUUUACGCCGGACUCGUCGAGCCGUGUCCGGGAUAGUAGGGCUGGAUUUGUGGGUGGCUGUCUAGGCAGCCGCACCCUUGCCCGUACUUUGGGGUCAACUUAUGUUCCCCUGUAAUGAAAUGAUGCCCUUUGGGCCGGGCAUUUUGAGUGUAAGGGAUGCGUAAUGCGGUAUUGCGUUAAAGCGGGAGAAGGCUUCACGUCCCAGUAGCGCUUGAUAGCGACUUACGAAUGGGGCGAUGUGGAAUGUUAGCUUUUCGCUUCAGAAGUUGUCGGGUGAUCUGAACGUGACUUCUAACGUAAGGGAACCCAUACUUGGGGUAUCCGGGCCUGGCGUUACUCCUUGAAAGGAAGUGUUGCCGAGGUGGAUUAUAACUGGGUUUACCCCGAGUUUGCGUACUGUGUCCUGAUAUAACAGGUUCAAGUCGCUGCCGCCGUCCAUAAGGGCGUUUGUAAAUUGGAGUCCGUUAAUAAUUGGAUUUACGACCAAGGCAGUCCAGCCUGCGUUCUGGUCUCCUCUGGAGUAAUCCUGACGAUCGAAGGUGAUUGGUUGUAACAACCAGUGGGGUUGCUCCUCCGGGGCUGGCUGUACGGCGCGUGUCUUCGUAGGUGCCGUUCUGCUCUUCCCUUUUGUCACAUGAAGUAGAUUUACUGUCUUGACUUCUUGUGGGAACUUCUUUUGUUCUCCGGUGUUCUACUUGUGGGGUGCAUCGUCAUCUUCGCUUGGUGUGUCGAGCCACUUGUGUUCGGCGUUGAGUUUGCCGGACUGCUUAAAGACCCAACAAUCUCUGUGGGUAUGGUUUGCAGGUCUCCCAGGAGUGCUGUGGAUUUGACAUAUUUUGUCCAAAAUUUUGUUGAGGUUGGAUAGCUCGUCCCUAUCGUCUUUGGGGGCGGCUUUUUCUGAUUUUGCCGAGAGCUUUUGAAUCCGGUGUUUACUGCCGUGCUCAUCAGGUUGUUGUCCUUUAUCCGGCGCGGUUCUUUGUUACGGCGCGACUUCCCGUUCCCAUCUCUGGGUUUGGACGUAUUCGGGUCGCUGGUGCUGCUUCUUGCCAACCAGCUAUCCUCUCCUGCACAAAAGCGGGUCAUGAGGCUUGUUAACGCGGCCAUUGUUAGCGGCUUUUCUUGGCCGAGGUGUCUGGCGAGCCAUUCGUCUCGGACGCUAUGUUUGAAAGCUGCUAGGGCCUUUGCGUCUGGACAGUCGACUAUCUGAUUCUUUUUUAUAAGGAAUCUGUUCCAGAGCUUCCGGGCUGACUCUCCGGGCUGCUGAGUUAUAUGACUCAGAUCAUCAGCAUCCGGGGGUCGGACAUAGGUCCCUUGAAAAUUUGCCCGGAAAGCAUCCUCAAGCACUUCCCAACUUCCCAUGGUGUUUUCGGGAAGGCUUUUAAGCCAAUGCCGGGUUGGCCCUUUGAGCUUAAGGGGUAAGUAUUUUAUGGCGUGGAGGUCAUCUCCUCUGGCCAUGUGUAUGUGGAGGAUAUAGUCCUCGAUCCAGACCCCAGGGUCUGUUGUUCCGUCGUAUGCUUCUCUGUUCACGGGCUUGAAUCCGGCUGAGAAUUCAUGGUCCAGCACCUCAUCGGUAAAACAUAGGGGGUGUGCGGCGCCCCUGUAUUUAGGCGUGUCGCGAUGUUCGGGUAUUUGUUGCAUUGCAUCACUCACUAGAGCUUGCUUUCUUGGCCUAUAGAUGGAUCUGGUUGGGCCAGUUUUCUGAUGCGAAUUCUUGGACGGAUCGCGCGCCAUAUUGAGUGCGGCGUCCUUUGAUGCGUGAGAUUGAUCGUAGGGUCGUCUAUCCGACCUUGUGGCUUCCUUAUUUUUUGACUGUGGGGGCUUUAUGGCCUCUUCAUCAAAUUCCGGUAGUAGUUUCCGCUUCGGAUAGCUCUUUGUGUGGCGACUGCUGCCGUACUUGUGUGCGGUAUUGAGUACUUUGCCCCAUCUGAUCCUGAGUGCAUCUUCCGCUGUCUUGAGCCUCCGCUUCUGCUUUCUCAGGCUACGUGCAGUGGCAACGAGCCUUUGGUGGAGGUUCUGAUGUUCCAGCAAUUUGUCUGCGGUGAGGUCAUCCGGGCUAUUAUCUUUCCCGGGGAUUGGUUGUUCGGAUUGUCUGCCCUGUUUGGACGGAUGCUCAACGGCAUGUUCGUCUUCCAUUGAUUCACCCUGCUCUAUGGCUGGGUCUUUGUCGAGGUGGGGCUUGGCCUUGCACUUACGCCGCUGCUUUGAUUGUUUUUCGGGGGAGCGAUCCCUGGCCGCAUCCUUUUGGUCCUCGUUGUCGUUUCUGUUGUGUGUGUCCACCAUGCAUACAUCGUAUGAUGAGGUGGCUUUCCGGCGCCCUAUAGGUGCUGGUUCCUGAUCGUCUCCUUUAUCGGCGUCCAUACCGUCGAUAUCUUCGGAGUCGAAAUCGAGCAUGUAGGUUAGAUCCUCGACAGUGGCUAUCAAGUGGGUGGUGGGUGGGGUUCGAACUUCGUUGUCCGCAUCCCAACCACCCCGACCGUAGUUCGGCCGGGGUUCUUUCGACAAAGAGAGAGACUUUAGUGAAUUUAGGAUAUCGCCAAAGGGCGAGUGCUGAAAGACGUCCGCAGCGGUGAACUCCAUGAUCGGAGCCCAAUCGGGUUUGAUCGGAAGGGGUGUGAAAUAUUCAGAGUCCGGAACAGAGUCCGGCACCUUGGAGUCACGGGCCUUGCAAAGGACUAGGCUGGUAUUCGGCUCUAUCGCCGCAGAGAUUGCGGCUCCUGGGGCGGCGUCCAACUGUCUGUCCCUGGCUAGCACAGUCGGCUCCGAGCUAAUGGUCGGAGUGGACACCUGAGCGGCACUCUGGGCGCUGUCCGGCGGCAGAGCUAGAUCAUGCCCAUCGAGACAGUGCGGCGCGCCCGGUCGUGGCUCGAAUCCGUCGAAGAUCAAGUCCCCGCGGAUGUCGGCCGUGUAGUUUAAGCUUCCAAACCUGUCCUGAUGGUUAGGGGCGUAGCUUUUGAUUUGCUCCAGAUGGCCAAACGAGUUGGCCCGCAGUGCGAAGCCGCCGAAUACGAAGAUCUGUCCAGGGAGAAAAGUCUCAUCCCGGACCGCAUCGCGAUUGACAGGCGAAGAAGCCAUCGGGCCAAAAGGCGACGACACAGAGGAACUCUCAAUGCAAGCACCAAUGUCGGUGUCAAAACCGGCGGAUCUCGGGUAGGGGGUCCCGAACUGUGCGUCUAGGCGGAUGGUAACAGGAGACAAGGGACACGAUGUUUUUACCCAGGUUCGGGCCCUCUCGAUGGAGGUAAAACCCUACUCCUGCUUGAUUAAUAUUGAUGAUAUGGGUAGUACAAGAGUAGAUCUACCAUGAGAUCGGAGUGGCUAAACCCUAGAAGCUAGCCUAUGGCAUGAUUGUUGUUCGUCCUAUGGACUAAAACUCUCCGGUUUAUAUAGACACCGGAGAGGGCUAGGGUUACAUAGAGUCGGUUACAAUGGGAGGAGAUCUUCAUAUCGUAUCGCCAAGCUUGCCUUCCACGCCAAGGAAAGUCCCAUCCGGACACGGGACGGAGUGUUCAAUCUUGUAUCUUCAUAGUCCGGGAGUCCGGCCAAAGGUCUUAGUCCGGCCAUCCGGACACCCCCUAAUCCAGGACUCCCUCAGUGGUCGACUAGAAAACUUGAUCGAUGGAAGACUCCAUGAUAUCUGCUCCAACUUCAUCAACAUAGUCAUCAUCGCUAUCAUCGGGGUCCGAGUCGGUGUCAUCGAUGAUGAUGUAGUUCUCCGGGAAAGUGGAAUCAUUGUCUUCUCCUCCUGGCGCGGGGUCUCCCAUGAAUACUCCUAACUUCUUUGUCAGAUCGUCAUUUUUAUCCACGAGUAUCGUCAUUUCCUCCUCAUAUCCAUGGUGUGUAGACUUGAGUUCUUCCUCCAGCUCCAUGAUCCUGGUCAUUUCCUUCUUCAGAUUUAUCAUGUCGGUGCACAUCUGGUUCUCCUGAUGACGAAUGUGCUGGUUUAACUCCUGGAUGAAAGGUGCAAUAGAUCUAUCCUUCCUGGUGCUGAUCAUCUCCCAUUGCUCAUCUCGGCGCCCACAAAUUUGGUAGAUAGUAUCCUUCAGAUCCUUGUGGUAAACUUCUCCAAUGCGUCCCAUAGUGAUGUGUGCUGCCAUGAUCUUUCCUAAACUCCAGGUUGGUGUGUCAAAGGAAAACUCUAUGGGCUCAAUGACUGGCAUGAACGUCCUUCCUGGAACUUGAACUCGAAUCAUCCAACGCUCCCCUUCUGGUAAAGUGGCGAUGUCGGUCCCGGUGAAGCUUGGUAUUCAGAUGUUCAGGUAUCUAGUGACUUCCUUCAAGUGUCGUCCAAAAGGUGUAUCUUCAUUCAAUUGUGUGAACUCGUUCAUUGCAUCCGCCAUCCUAAAGAGUAGAAAAGGGAGAGGAGUCAGAAAUGAGAAGAGAGUAGUGAUCUAGGGCUUUAGCUUAGUAGUCGUGUCCUACAUUCAGCGUGUGCUCUGAUACCAUCUUGUAGCGACCAGACCUCAAACAGUCUGAUCUUUGUGCAUCAGUGUCAUCCCUCGAUCGGUAAUGCUGACACGCACAGUACUUGAGGAUUUAUAAUAGAGUAGCAAUCACACACUUAUUACAUCGAAUGUCUCAAAAGAGAACUUAUUACAAAAAUAUGGCUUCAGGCCAUCUAAAAUCGAUAACAGCGGAAGGCUUGGAAGAUAAAGUGAGUCCAUCAACUCCAACAGCAUCACUAAGUGAAAGACAACGACUUAUGGCACCUUACUCGUCAUCUGAAAAAUCUAAAACAUGAACGUUGCAGCCCGAAACGGGUCAGCACAUGGAAUAUGCUGGCAAUGUAACACAAGAGAGUAAUGAACAGAAUAAAUGCUAUCACUACAUGCAUAUAUAGCUGGUGGAAAGCUCUAUGGUUACAGUUUUGCAUAAAGCCAAUUUUUUCCUACGACAAAGGAAUAAAUUUUAUUUAACUAUCAUGCUGGUUGUUAAACAUUGAGAAGGUUCCUCCAACUCAAUCCCAACUAAACCUCAUCAUUAAACCCAAUCAAAUUAAUUUAGAGUGAUGAGAUCAACAUGAUAAUCCAAGAACUAGAUUCUCAAAACGUCCAUAACCGGGGACACGGCUAACCAUGAUUAGUUUAUACACUCUGUAGAGGUUUGCGCAUUUUGCCCACAAGACUCGAAUACAUCCCUGGUCGAAGAAUCGAGACAUAGUCUUUCUGAAAAAAUAACUCUUUGCUCUGGGUGGACAGUUACACCUACUUUCCCCUACAUCUGCUAGCCCACCACUGAAAGAGGUCUUGCAACGUACUCAACUAUGCUAGAGCCCAUAAUAGCUUGUGGCUGCACACGGAAGUUUCUAGCAUGAAUAAUCUUAUGAUCCCUUUGAGCCUGGGUGGCAGACCGUAGGAUGAUCACACGGGUACUCCGGGAUAUCCUAGGACAACACUGGAUUCUCCAGGUGCCCUGACAACCACUGGGUACUCCAGGGUACCUUCAAGCAAUCCACCCAGAUGUGUAUUAAAGUAGCCACCUUAAGUUAACCAUUAAGUAACAACACUCGCAUCUGUCAUGAAAUCACUCGAUCCAAACCACGUCUACAAGCAUAGCAUAGCAAUAUAAGCAACAUAGAAGUAACUCCCAAUGGUUUGAUAAUAAACAGGGCAAUACGUACUACCUCAUCUACUUCCCAAAACCCACAUGUUAAACAGAUCCUAACCAUGUAUUUGUUUAAGGAUUGAACUAAUGCAAUAAAACUGGGUAGUAAAAAGGUAUUAUCAAAGUGUUACUUGCCUUGCUGAUGAUCCGUGAAACCUACAGACUCAUAGUAGCACGCUUCGCACUCCAGUUACUCUAUCGCAAACAAACAAGCAUACAAUAAGUACUCAACUGGAAGCACGAGUAAAACUCAAAUAAGAGAUCUAACCAGAAAGUUCAACUUAAGAACUCCGGUUUGCAAAAAGAAUCAAAUCAAACGAAGCAAUGAAACUCAAACUGCGAAAGAAACAAGCUCCAUUUACUAAUCUGGACUUAAGUCAAAUUUUACGGUAGCAAAAUCUUGUUGAAGUUGAUUAAAUAGAAAGAGGGCUUCAAGACGAAGAUCUAGACGUUUGUUUCAUCUGAUUUGGAUAAACAAGCGAAAAGAUAAACUAGUACAAAAAUUAGGGCAGAAAUCGCGAUCGAAAUUAAUCGUGGAAAAACCCUUGAAAAAGAAAAACUAACGAACAGACUAACGAACGAACGUUCGCUGUCUGCGGCUAACGGGUGAACUUCGUUCGCUAAAACGAACGUACGGACAAACGUCCGCUAAUUAGGUAAACCGAGAAAAACCGAACCGAUCUAAUCUAAAAAAAACCUAGGUUUCUAAAAAAACCAAGCGGUUUUCAAAAAAACCAAAUCGGCGGCGGCGGCGGUUGCUACCUCCGGCGAGGCUCCGACGAGGUGGGGGCGGCUCCUGCGGGGUCAGCGGCGGCGGCGGGGCUCCGGGGCCGCGGCGAGGUNNNNNNNNNNNNNNNNNNNNNNNNNNNNNNNNNNNNNNNNNNNNNNNNNNNNNNNNNNNNNNNNNNNNNNNNNNNNNNNNNNNNNNNNNNNNNNNNNNNNNNNNNNNNNNNNNNNNNNNNNNNNNNNNNNNNNNNNNNNNNNNNNNNNNNNNNNNNNNNNNNNNNNNNNNNNNNNNNNNNNNNNNNNNNNNNNNNNNNNNNNNNNNNNNNNNNNNNNNNNNNNNNNNNNNNNNNNNNNNNNNNNNNNNNNNNNNNNNNNNNNNNNNNNNNNNNNNNNNNNNNNNNNNNNNNNNNNNNNNNNNNNNNNNNNNNNNNNNNNNNNNNNNNNNNNNNNNNNNNNNNNNNNNNNNNNNNNNNNNNNNNNNNNNNNNNNNNNNNNNNNNNNNNNNNNNNNNNNNNNACAACGGCACGGUGCUGGUUACGGGCGGCGGCGCGCUUCCGGGGCGGCGGCGGUGGCGGCGGUGGCGGCGGUGGCGGGGAGGUGGUGAGAGGCGGCGGGUUGGGUAUUUAAGGAGAGGAGGGAGGUCCGACGGCUUGGGGGAGGAGUCGAGGAGGAGGAGUCCUCCUCGGACUCGGCGGCGGCGUGCUCGGUCAGAGUCGGCCGGGCGAGGCGGGGCGUUGGCGAGGCCGGCCCGGCUCGGCUGGGCCGCUGGCCCAGUCGGGCGCGCGAACAAUUUUUUUUAAAUAAGAUUCAACCAAAAACAAAUCCUAGAAAAAAAAAAUAAAAAAAAUCUAAAAAUGCCAAAAUAAAUUUUGGCCGUCUAGAUAAAAUAUUUAGAACAAGACGAACAUUUUCUUGGCCUAAAUAUGCAAUUUUGAAAACGUGCAAUUUUUCUAAUUCAAAUAAAAUAGCAACGAAACUCUGAAUAAAAUUCUUAUUUGAUUUUAAUAUUAAAUCUCCAAUAUUUCUUUAAUUUGGGGAAGUCAUUUUAUCCCCUCUCUUUUAUUUUCAUAAUGAAAAUAUUCGAAGAGAAAAUAAUUUAAAAUCAAAUGAUCCUCUUUUCAAAAUUUAAGAAAACUCAAAUAUGAAACUAACAAAAUCCCCAACUCUCUCCGUGGGUCCUUGAGUUGCGUAGAAUUUCUAGGAUCUACCAAAAAAUGCAAUAAAAUCUGAUAUGCAAUGAUGAUCUAAUGUAUAACAUUCCAAAUUGGAAAUUUUGGAUGUUACACUUUUUUAACCGGACAUCAUCAUACUUGAUUGUGCAUCAUGCCUUGUUUAUGUGAUGGUUGUUUACCAUGUUGUUUGCUUCUUUCCGGUUGCGCUUCUCCUUGAUAGUUCCGGUAACGUUGCGUUUGUGAGGAUUCGUUCGACUAUGUUGGUUUGUCUACUUCUUGGAUUCAUUCUUCUUCCUUGCGGGAUCUCAGGCAAGAUGACCAUUACCCUUGAUAUCACUUCUAUCUUUGCUUGCUAGUUGUUUCGUUCUAUCACUAUGUUGCGCUACCUAUCACUUGUUUACCAUGCCUCCCAUGUUGCCAUGUUCAGCCUCUAACAGACCUUCCUAGCAAACCGUUGUUUGGCUAUGUUACUGCUCUGCUCAGCCCCUCUUAUAGCGUUGUUAGUUGCAGGUGAAGUUGAAGAUUGCUCCAUGUUGGAACAUGUUUAUGUUGGGAUAUCACACUAUCUCUUAUUUACUUAAUGCAUCUAUAUAUUUGGUAAAGGGUGGAAGGCUCGGCCUUAUGCCUGGUGUUUUGUUCCACUCUUGCCGCCUUAGUUUCCGUCAUACCGGUGUUAUAUUCCUUGAUUUUGUGUUCCUUACGUGGUCAGGUUUAUGGGAACCCCUUGACAGUUCGCUUUGAAUAAAACUCAUCCAGCAAGGUGAUACGUCUCCAAUGUAUCUAUAAUUUUUUAUUGUUCCAUGCUAUUAUAUUACCCGUUUUGGAUGUUUAUGGGCUUUACUUUACACAAUUAUAUCAUUUUUGGUACUAACCUACUAACCGGAGGCCCAGCUCAUAUUGCUGUUUUUUUGCCUAUUUCAGUGUUUCGAAGAAAAGGAAUAUCAAACGGAGUCCAAACAGAAUGAAACCUUCGGGAACGUGAUUUUUGGAACGAACGUGAUCCAGAGGACUUGGAGUGGAAGUCAAGAAACAAGGGAGGUGGCCACAAGGGUGGAGGGCGCCCCCCUACUACUGGGCGCGCCCCCCUAUCUCGUGGGCCCCUCGGGAGUCCACCGACCUACUUCUUCCUCCUAUAUAUACCCAUGUACCCCGAAAACAUCAGAGGUGACCAUGAAAACCUAAUUCCACCGCUGUAACCUUCUGUAUCCGCGAGAUCCCAUCUUGGAGCCUUCGUCGGUGUUCCGCCGGAGGGGGAAUCGAUCACGGAGGGCCUCUACAUCAUCUCCAAGGCCUCUCCAAUGAGUUGUGAGUAGUUUACCACAGACCUUCGGGUCCAUAGUUAUUAGCUAGAUGGCUUCUUCUCUCUCCUUGAAUCUCAAUACCAUGUUCUCCUUGAUCUUCUUGGAGAUGUAUUUGAUGUAACUCUUUUUGCGGUGUGUUUGUCGAGAUCCGAUGAAUUGUGGGUUUAUGAUCAAGUUUAUCUAUGAGAAAUAUUUGAAUCUCCUCUAAAUUCUUUCAUGUGUGAUUAAGUUAUCUUUGCAAGUCUCUUCGAAUUAUCAGUUUGGUUUGGCCUACUAGAUUGAUAUUUCUUGCAAUGGGAGAAGUGCUUAGCUUUGGGUUCAAUCUUGCGGUGUCCUUUCCUAGUGACAGCAGGGGCAGCAAGGCACGUAUUGUAUUGUUGCCAUCGAGGAUAAAAAGAUGGGGUUUAUAUCAUAUUGCAUGAGUUUAUCCCUCUACAUCAUGUCAUCUUUCUUAAUGCGUUACUCUGUUCUUUAUGAACUUAAUACUCUAGAUGCAUGCUAGAUAGCGGUCGAUGUGUGGAGUAAUAGUAGUAGAUGUAGGCAGGAGUCAGUCUACUUGUCACGGACGUGAUGCCUAUAUACGUGAUCAUGCCUAGAUAAUCUCGUAAUUAUUCGCUUUUCUAUCAAUUGCUCGACAGUAAUUUGUUCACCCACCGUAAUACUUAUGCUAUCUUGAGAGAAUCCACUAGUGAAACCUAUGACCCGGGUCUAUCUCUUAUCAUAUAAGCUUUCAAUCUACUUUUAUUUUGCAUCUUUACUUUUCCUAUCUAUAUUAAAUACCAAAAAUACACUUAUCUUAUCAUAUUAUCUCUAUCAGAUCUCACUUUCGCAAGUGGUUGUGAAGGGAUUGACAACCCCUUUAUUGCGUUGGUUAUGAGUUCUUGUUUGUUUGUGUAGGUGCGUGGGACUUUUGAGGAGGCUCCUACUGGAUUGAUACCUUGGUUCUCAAAAACUGAGGGAAAUACUUAUGCUACUAUUGCUGCAUCACCCUUUCCUCUUCAAGGAAAACCAGUGCAAGCUCAAGACGUAGCACAAGGCCCAACAUUGGUUUUCUAUUUGCCUAACAACCUAUAACCCUCCCUUGGGGUCUGCAGCCCCGAGGGUCAUCUUUAUUUUAACCCCCCCGGGCCAGUGCUCCUCUGAGUGUUGGUCCAAACUCGAGCCACUUGCAGCGCCACCUCGGGGAAACAUGAGGGCUGGUUUUAGCUGUACGUAGUGUUCAUCCAGUGUGCCCUGAGAACAAGAUAUGUGCAGCUCCUAUUGGGAUUUGUCGGCACAUCCGGGCAGUCUUGCUGGUCUUGUUUUACCAUUGUCGAAAUGUCUUGUAACCGGGAUUCCGAGUCUGAUCGGGUCUUUCCGGGAGAAGGAAUAUCCUUUGUUGAUCGUGAGAGCUUGUGAUGGGCUAAGUUGGGACACCCCUGCAGGGUAUAAACUUUCGAAAGUCGUGCCCACGGUUAUGUGGCAGAUGGGAAUUUGUUAAUGUCCGGUUGUAGAGAACUUGACACUUGACUUAAUUAAAAUGCAUCAACCGCAUGUGUAGCCAUGAUGGUCUCUUCUUGGCGGAGUCCAGGAAGUGAACACGGUUUGGGUUAUGUUUGAACGUAAGUAGUCUUCAGGAUCACUUCUUGAUCACUUCUAGCUUCACGACCGUUGCGUGGCUUCUCAUCUUACUCUUAUUUGCGUAACUUAGCCACCAUAUUUGCUUAGCGCUUGCUGCAACUCCACCUCAUCACCACAUCCUACCCAUAAGCUUAAAUAGUCUUGAUCUCGCGGGUUUUGAGAUUGCUGAGUCCUCGUGACUCACAAGAUACUACCAAACAGUUACAGGUCCCAAUGAUACCAGUGCAGGUGAUGCAACCGAGCUCAGAUGGGAGUUCGAUGAGGUCCUUGGCAGUUACUACGUGUCUUUUCCUAAUGAUCAAUGGUGGAGCCCAGUUGGGACGAUCAGUGAUCUAGCAUUUGGGGUUAUCAUCUUUUCAUUUGGAUUUGUCCGUAGUCGGACUAUGAGUGUACUCUCAUGAUGUAUGAAUUAUAUGAUCUUUGUGUGAAGUGGCGAUUGUAAGCCAACUCUCUUUAUCCCUUUCUUGUUCAUUACAUGGGAUUGUGUGAAGAUGACCCUUCUUGCGACAAAAACCACAAUGCUGUUAUGCCUCUAAGUCGUGCCUUGACACGUGGGAGAUAUAGCCGCAUCGUGGGUGUUACAAGUUGGUAAUCAGAGCCAUCCCCGACUUAGGAGCCCCCUGCUUGAUCGAAUCGCUUAUGUUGUUGAGUCUAGAACAACAUGUUUUGAGUCUUAGGAUUAUAUAUAUCGUAGAGUAGGAUUCUUUUUACUCCUCAGUCCCUUCGUCACUCUGGUGAGGUCUCCUCACGUAGAUGUUUUGUCUUUCCUCUCCUCAAUUUUCACUAAAAAAAAUUAGGAUCACGCGGGUAUCUUGGGAUCGCCCUGAUAUUCUUGUGACGAGAACAUUGUUCUUGGUGCCUCCUAACAUUUAGGGGUUGUGGCAGUGUCCCGGGGAGUUGAGCUCCGAGGUGUUGUCGUCACAAUUUUAUUGUUGCAGUUCUGGAAUACCUGAAUUUUCGUCGACAUCGAAAAUCUCUUUUAUGCAGUUGUUGGUGAGAUAGCCUCGAUGCUAUCCAGUACUGGGGCGGGAGUUCGGGACUAUUGCCAUGGCUCGUAUAACGGAUGCUUUUCCAAGGUUGAGGUACACGAUUUCCAGAGUUUACUUGGUUAUGUGUUAACGGAUGGAUACAGCUGGAUGUAGGGAUUGUUAGUUUUGGGUGAGAUAUAUAUUGCUUCCCCUGUAUCCCCAACACCAGAUUGCAUAACUAGAAAGUUUCGGGAGUUUAUAGGUGGGAAUUCAAAUAGCUCUAGUUUUUUUCCCGACAAAUGCAAUAUGAGAUUGGGGUUCGACGUCUAGUGGUCCGCCUAUCCACGGUCAUUUUUACAAUGGUCUCAUUGUGUCUUAAUGAGUCCUUGGCUAUGCUGACUCAUGGACGCUUCGUAUGUCAUGUGCACUGCCUUGUACAUGAUGGUGUUGUACGACCGAGCCUGUGUGGGCCCCACCAUGAAAAAUUCGGACGAAUCUCUAUCAUAUGUUUGUUUUCGGCUUAUCCUGCAAGCCAAAUCCUUUGUUUUGUUUUGAGUUGUGGUAUUCGAGUUGCUUCGAUGUCAAGUGUUGAUCCAUACCUUCCCUAAAUGGUGUUCUCAAAUUUCUAUGGGAGUACUAAUCCUUUUAUUCAUGUUGAAUGGUCAUGCCAAUUCUUUUCCAACCGGGGUGCUUCCCUCAAGUGGAUCCGGUCAUUUCAACAUCCGCAAGAUCAAUUCUAAGUUUUUCUCAAUGGUAUCCAUUCCAUCUACCCAAGUUGCCUUUGUUUUCCCGCCCUCCCACCCUUUUUCUUCAAGGACUCAGAUUUAUUAAUCAAGUAUCCUUUUAUGGAUGUGAAGUCCCUUCAUUUUUUAUCAAUAUUCUUAUCCGGUGAUUCUCAAGAAGUUGCUCAACAGUUUCAAGUUUAUUAUUGUUCGUUCUCUUUUCUUCUCCGGUGGAUUCAAUUCAAGCUUUGUCGAUCAUAUUCUUUCCUUGUUUCAAAUGUUUUCCCAUGCCGGUGCACCUCUUAAUUGCUCACCUCUCCUAGUUCAUAUCCGGAGUGUUGAAGAUAUCUCAGAAGGUUCAUGUUUCCAUUCUCAAUCCUUCAAGCUAUUUGGAGAUUAUUAUCUCAUUCAAGUCAUUCAAUUCAACCGGUGCAAUCUCUCUUCAAAAUCGUUCAACGGUGUUUUUCUUGAGUGGGCCCUAACUCACAGGUCUUUUUCCAGGAUCUUACCUGACUCUUCUAAUUUUCCCAGAGCUAUUCAAAAAUUCUUUUCGAAGUUUGACGUAAGAAUGAAUUUUCAUUAGUCAGAUGUGUUCUUCAAGAUCGCUUUCAAAUACUUUUGAUUGUUGGUUCAAAUUUUCUAUUCAUCAUUCCGGAGUGCCUCAACAAUUCAUGGUGGUUCUCAUCAUCAUUCUCAACAUUUGAAGACCGAAGAAGGAUUUCUCUUAAAUCUUGCUCCAUUCUCUUCAAGAUUCAUGGUUCUAGCUUGAGUCCAUCCUCUCAUAAUUGUUUUCGAUUGUGAGAAUUCUUUUCACCCAUCCGAAGCAUUUCAGGAGUUACCUUCCUUUCUCGAUCACCUGAAGGCCAUCAUUUGUGAAUAUUAUUCAUUCUCAGUUUUCAGCUCUCGUUCUCGAAUUCUUCUGGUGCAUCGUUCAAAUAUCCUCUAAUCAGUUCAUGAUCUCUUCGUUCUCAUGUAUCUAAAUCCCCUCAAGUAUCUUCAUUCGUUUUCCAAUUCUUCCCGGUGAAUUGUGCCUUUUCUACCCUCAUUUCAAAUUCUUACGGCGGUUUGUUCAAGAUUCCUCUUCCUUUAUUACCGUAUCAUUUCAUUCGUUCUUUCCAAUCAUCCCGGUGAUUUGUCGAACACUUCUUCAAGUUGGCGCUAUAUCUCUCUUCAAUCCUUGCAAAAGAAUAAAUAGUGUGCCAAAUCCCUUGCUUCUCAUCAAUUUAAAUUGGUGAAGGAUACGCAUAACAUAAUUCUUAUUCUUGUUUCAUCCAAGUGAUUAAUUUUUUCUUUCCGGAGUUGUUCAUCAUAUCACAUUCUCGAUUCAAGUUGCUCACCUUUCUUUCCCGGAGUUCCAAGUUUUUUUUGGUUAUCUAGUCACAAAGCUCCAUCUAAAUCAUUGCAAGGCUUCAAUUCUGGUUCUCUUGAACCUCCAAUUCUUCGUCAUAAUCAUUUUGUUUUCCGGAGAUCUUCCAAGAGGUUCUUCAUGGUGGUUGAUCAAGGAUUUAAUUCAUUCUUGAAGUGUUCUUCAAGAUUCUUGUUGGAGGAUUCAAGUAUUCUUCUUGCAUUCCGGAAUGCAACUUUUGUUCCCUUAUCUUUUGAGGUGGUGUUAUGUCAUUUUGACAAUUUCCUUUAUGUUUCGUGAUUCACAUGUUGUCAAGAAUGAGGUAUUUUAAAUCCAUCAAUCUCUUCAUUGGAGUUACCUUGGUAUUGAUUUCACUUAAAGCCUUCCCUAAGGAAUGUUGCUAAUUGUGGUGUCUAUCGAUAAUCCAAGUUUCCACCUAUUCUCGCGGUGAAAGAAGUUUUUCAUCUCUUUGGUGCUCUCAAUCAAAUCAAUGGUUUCCAUUAGUGGCCGGUUGCCACCUCAUAGUUUUGAGAUGUUUUCCAUAAGCCCACAACAAGCUUGUGCUUUCGUUGUUGAUUUUCCAAUAACUCCGUUCAACCCUUCUCCGUAAGGAUGCUUUUCAAAUUCAAUUGUGGUAGAAAAUAUCAUUUUCUUCUUAAUUCUUUUCUUUCCAAUGGUCCAACUUCUAUUCCUUCGUUCCGAAGGCUUUGUGAUGUUACUCUCUUCGACCCAUCAUCUCAUUUUGUAAAUAUCAUGUUCUUUUCCUUGCUUAUCCGUUUACUAGGAGUGUCAUGUCCUAUGCUCAAGUUAUUUUCAUCUUAUCAAGUCUUGCAUUUCUUUUCAACUGGGGUGCUGUCCGAAUUUGUUCUUCCUUGUUCCUUGUUUAUCUCGUUUCAACCAGAGUGGUUUCAAUUCCUUCUUAUUCUUUGUGCUUGUCAUUCUUAGCUUUGCAACCUCCAAGGUUCUCAUAAUGUUCCUUGUUCCUCUUUUCUAACGGAGCUUUUCAAUCUCGUUCAUCUCUGUUGUAUUCUUUCUUUCUAGUUGUCCAACCUCUUAAGGUUCAUGGUUUCACUCAUUUGUCGAAGAACCAACUUUGUUUUACCUCUUCCAUUUUCGUUUAUCUCUGGUUCCAUCCCUAGGAUCUCAGGUCGAGAUCCUCUGUUAGUGGAGGAGAGUUGUAACGCCCCAAGACCGACGCUCCAGACGCCUUCCAUGUUUUCCGAGUUUCAUCGUGUGAUUUUGUUUUGUUCGUGCAUUCAUCUCUGCAUCAUGUGCAUUGCAUCAUGUCAUCUUGCACCCCAUUUUUAAAACUCAGCUAAAUAAAUUGCAUGGAUGUUUGGUCCAUUUAAAACGAGGGAAUUCACAUGGUGAUUUCGCUUUAUAACAUAUCAUCCCAAUAUUAUAGGGGGCUAUAAUAAAUAUUCCAUUAAUUUGGAAUUGAUCGUAACACACUUGCAAAAUUAUUCCCAUGCCUUUGUUAUCUUACUUCUUGACCUCAAACUUUGUCCAUUAAAUUCUUUCGUCAUUUUCCCGAGCUCCACCGAAAUUCUCAACAUUCCUGGACCUACCAAAAACCCACUUCUUUCACCACUCAUUUGAAUUAAAUUCAAAUGAGUUUGGAUCUUGGUUGCCCAGCACCCUUCCGACCAUUUCCGUUAAAUCACUCACAUUUUCCCGAUCUCAGGAAAAUAUCACACUAGUCCAUACUCCUUCUCUAACCUCUUCUUUUCUCUCUUUUCUUUCUUUCUUUUUCUGUAAAUAGAAAAGAGAGAAGCCUAUUUUGGCCUAAUGACCAGGCCAGCCCAUCUAACCUCCUAAAGCCCAGCCUCCUCACGAACCCUAGCACCCCUGGUUCAAUCCCCUUCAUCUCUCCUUCUCCCGAUCCCUGCUGCCUUCCCUCCUCGAUCCCCUCCAUCCUCCUUACGCUGCCAAGCACACACACAGAGAGGAGCGAGAGCCCUGCUCUCGCAAUCCCUAUCUCUCUUCCUCCCCAGGAGCUCGCGUUCCCCUGAUCUCCUGCAACGCCGGAGACCUCUCCUGCUUUGCCUCGCCUGCCCCUUCGUCGUUUGCCGCCAGUCAUCGCAGAACCAGGCCGCCGCCCCGCACCAUCUCAUGGACCCGCGUCUCCCCGUUACCCCUGCUCGAGCUUCGCAGCCAUGGCGCCGCCACCACCAUCUCCAGCCGCUCCCCUGCAGCUCCUCCUCCACCUCGUCCUCACGUCUGGCCUCGUCCCGGCCCGCCUUCUGCCUCCUCCAUUGAUUGUCCCGGCCACCAAAGCUGUUGACGGCCGAAGCCCGGCCGUGUUGUAGCCUCUGUUGCUGGCGACCUUGACCUCCCUUGCACCAAGCCCCGCCGUCGGUCUUCAACCCUGACGCCCGACCCGGCCAUCUUCGGUUGCUGCCCCUUCACGGCCAGCACACACAAGAGCUCCACCCACCUUGCUGCCAUGCUGGCCUCAUCGCCCCUCUUGUCGCUGCCACGGCUCGGCAACUAGGGAUGCCCAAGGAUGCCUUCAUGGAUUUCGCCAAGACCCCACACCGGCAAGACUACAACACUGAAACGGCAAGGUCGACUAUGUUUUACUGCCUCUCUGGAGCGCCAAGUUCCAUAAGACACCAAGUACCACAACGGCCGUUGUUCGCAAGUACCCUCUCCGGAUCGCCAAGUUCGACUACCGGUGACAUAUACCACAACCGUCGCCUUGGGUUUCGUCAAGUUCCUAUACGACCCGUGUAAAACUACCGUCGCCCCGAAGACUUGGAUUCGUCAAGUAGCUCUCCGAAAUGAACGUGUACCACUACUUCCACUACCUUCGCCGUGUACCACUACUUCCACUAUAACCGUCCCGAGAACGUCUACUUCCUUCGACGAACUCGUUCCGCCCCGAAAAUGCAUGCUUCAAAGGUAUAACACCGAGACAACGCCCGUCAAUGAUGCUUUGUCAUAUGAGUUGCUUGCGUUUGCACCGUGCCCGAAUUGAUCCUUGCAAGUUCCUCCUCGUUUGCCAUGCCGUCGACCAGUGGGAACCCGGUAACCAGGAUCACCCCACCAUCGUUUGCAUGUUCCGCACAUCCGCACACUUGCUCUUUUGCACCGGUAUCUCAAUGAGUUAUCGGAUCAUCGGAAUGUUGCCAUGGCACCAUUUUCGUUGUCGUUGCCGUGGCACCCCUUUCGUUCCGCCAUGGUGACAAAUGCUUCAUAGCAUGUUCAUGUCAACAUUUUCAUAAAAAAAAUGCAUAAACCUUGAUUAUAUCAUCCGCAUCAUGAUAAAAACGUUUAAAAUGUUCAAAAUUGUUGUUUGCAUUAAAUUGCUAAAUGUCAUGUGGGGAUUCAUCAGAAUUGUUGUUUGUUGUUUCUGACCUCAUUUAACUUUCCUAAAUAGGUGGUUUGCUCAUGUUUCACCUCUUGCCAUGUUUAACAACAUUUAAUAUUGUUGUGUACCUAAACGAGAAUGAACUAAAUAAUUGACUGUGGUGUCUCGUCAAUAUGUAACUCGCUGCAUAUUGAGCUCUACUUAAAGUGUAGUAUUAUUUGUUGCAUUUUGCCAUGCCUUUUUAAACCGGACAUGCAUCAUACUUGAUUGUGCAUCGUGCCUUGUUUAUGUGAUGGUUGUUUACCAUGUUGUUUGCUUCUUUUCGGUUGCGCUUCUCCUUGAUAGUUCCAGUAACGUUGCGUUUGUGAGGAUUCGUUCGACUAUGUUGGUUUCUCUACUUCUUGGACUCGUUCUUCUUCCUUGUGGGAUCUCAGGCAAGAUGACCAUUACCCUCGAUAUCACUUCUAUCUUUGCUUGCUAGUUGCUUCGUUCUAUCGCUAUGAUGCACUACCUAUCACUUGUUUACCAUGCCUCCCAUAUUGCCAUGUUCAGCCUCUAACCCACCUUCCUAGCAAACCGUUGUUUGGCUAUGUUACCGCUCUGCUCAGCCCCUCUUAUAGCAUUGUUAGUUGCAGGUGAAGUUGAAGAUUGCUCCAUGUUGGAACAUGUUUAUGUUGGGAUAUCACAAUAUCUCUUAUUUACUUAAUGCAUCUAUAUAUUUGGUAAAGGGUGGAAGGCUCGGCCUUAUGCCUGGUGUUUUGUUCCACUCUUGCCGCCUUAGUUUCCGUCAUACCGGUGUUAUGUUCCUUGAUUUUGUGUUCCUUGCGCGGUCGGGUUUAUGGGAAACCCUUGAAAGUUAGCUUUGAAUAAAACUCAUCCAGCAAGGCCCAACAUUGGUUUUCCAUUUGCCUAACAACCUAUAACCCUCCCUUGGGGUCNNNNNNNNNNNNNNNNNNNNNNNNNNNNNNNNNNNNNNNNNNNNNNNNNNNNNNNNNNNNNNNNNNNNNNNNNNNNNNNNNNNNNNNNNNNNNNNNNNNNNNNNNNNNNNNNNNNNNNNNNNNNNNNNNNNNNNNNNNNNNNNNNNNNNNNNNNNNNNNNNNNNNNNNNNNNNNNNNNNNNNNNNNNNNNNNNNNNNNNNNNNNNNNNNNNNNNNNNNNNNNNNNNNNNNNNNNNNNNNNNNNNNNNNNNNNNNNNNNNNNNNNNNNNNNNNNNNNNNNNNNNNNNNNNACUUGAGGGCUGGUUUUAGCUGUACGUAGUGUUCAUCCGGUGUGCCCUGAGAACGAGAUAUGUGCAGCUCCUAUCGGGAUUUGUCGGCACGUCCGGGCGGUCUUGCUAGUCUUGUUUUACCAUUGUCGAAAUGUCUUGUAACCGGAUCCGAGUCUGAUCGGGUCUUUCCGGGAGAAGGAAUAUCCUUCAUUGAUCGUGAGAGCUUGUGAUGGGCUAAGUUGGGACACCCCCGCAGGGUAUAAACUUUCGAAAGUCGUGCCCGCGGUUAUGUGGCAGAUGGGAAUUUGUUAAUGUCCGGUUGUAGAGAACUUGACACUUGACUUAAUUAAAAUGCAUCAACCGCGUGUGUAGCCAUGAUGGUCUCUUCUUGGCGGAGUCCAGGAAGUGAACAUGGUUUGGGUUAUGUUUGAACGUAAGUAGUCUUCAGGAUCACUUCUUGAUCACUUCUAGCUUCACGACCAUUGCGUAGCUUCUCAUCUUACUCUUAUUUGCGUAUGUUAGCCACCAUAUUUGCUUAGUGCUUGCUACAACUCCACCUCAUCACCACAUCCUACCCAUAAGCUUAAAUAGUCUUGAUCUCGCGGGUUUUGAGAUUGCUGAGUCCUCGUGACUCACAAGAUACUACCAAACAGUUGCAGGUCCCGAUGAUACCAGUGCAGGUGAUGCAACCGAGCUCAGAUGGGAGUUCGACGAGGUCCUUGGCCGUUACUACGUGUCUUUUCCUGAUGAUCAGUAGUGGAGCCCAGUUGGGACGAUCGGGGAUCUACCAUUUGGGGUUAUCUUCUUUUCAUUUGGAUUUUUCAGUAGUCGGACUAUGAGUGUACUCUGAUGAUGUAUGAAUUGUAUGAUCUUUGUGUGAAGUGGCGAUUGUAAGCCAACUCUCUUUAUCCCUUUCUUGUUCAUUACAUGGGAUUGUGUGAAGAUGACCCUUCUUGCGACAAAAACCACAAUGUGGUUAUGCCUCUAAGUCGUGCCUCGACACGUGGGAGAUAUAGCCGCAUCGUGGGCAUUACACUACCCCCUGGGCGCGCCCCCUACCUCGUGGGCCACCUGGAAGCCCGCCGAUGCCCAUCUUCUGGUAUAAGGUGUCUUUUGCACUUGAAAAAAUCAUUAGGAAGCUUUCGGGACGAAGCGCCGCCUUCUUGAGGCGGAACCAAUCUAGGGCUCUAGCGGAGCUGUUCUGCCGAGGAAACAACCCUCCGGGAGGGGGGAAUCAUCACCAUCGUCAUCACCAUUGAUCCUAUCAUCGGGAGGGAGUCAAUCUCCAUCAACAUCUUCACCAGCACCAUCUCCUCUCAAACCCUAGUUCAUCUCUUGUAUCCGAUCUUUGUCUCAAAACCCCGGAUUGGUACCUAUGGAUUGCUAGUAGUGUUGAUUACUCCUUGUAGUUGAUGCUAGUUGGUUUAUUCGGUGGAAGAUCAUAUGUUCAGAUCCUUUAUGCAUAUUAAUACCCCCUCUGAUUAUGAACAUGAAUAUGAUUUGUGAGUAGUUACAUUUCUUCCUGAGGACAUGGGAGAAGUCUUGUUAUAAGUAGUUAUGUGAAUUUGGUAUUCGUUCGAUAUUUUGAUGAGAUGUAUGUUGUCUCUCCUCUAGUGGUGUUAUGUGAACGUCGACUACAUGACACUUCACCAUUAUUUGGGCCUAGGGGAAGGCAUUGGGAAGUAAUAAGUAUAUGAUGGGUUGCUAGAGUGACAGAAGCUUAAACCCUAGUUUAUGCGUUGCUUCGUAAGGGGCUGAUUUGGAUCCAUAUGUUUCAUGCUAUGGUUAGGUUUACCUUAAUUCGUAUUUCGUAGUUGCGGAUGCUUGCAGGAGGGGUUAAUCAUAAGUGGGAUGCUUGUCCAAGGAAGGGAAGUACCCAAGCACCGGUCCACCCACAUAUCAAAUUAUCAAAGUACCGAAUGCAAAUCAUAUGAGCAUGAUGAAAACUAGCUUGACGAUAAUUCUCAUGUGUCCUCGGGAGCGCUUUCCUUUAUAGAAGAGUUUGUCCAGGCUUGUCCUUUACUAUAAAAAGGAUUGGGCCACCUUGCUGCACCUUUCUUACUUUUGUUACUUGUUACCCGUUACGAAUUACCUUAUCAUAAAACUAUCUGUUACUGAUAAUUUAAGUGCUUGUAGAGAAUCCCUUCCUGAAAGUCGCUUGUCAUUUCCUUCUACUCCUUGUUGGGUUUGACACUCUUACUUAUCAAAAGGACUACGAUAGAUCCCCUAUACUUGAGGGUCAUCAAGACUCUUUUCUAGCGCCGUUGUCGGGGAGUGAAGCGACUUUGGUAGGUGGAAUUUGGUAAGGAAACAUUUAUAUAGUGUGCUGAAAUUUAUUGUCACUUGUUACUAUGGAAAAUAAUCCUUUGAGGGGCUUGUUCGGGGUAUCUUCACCCCGAACAGUAGAGCAAAGAGUUGCUCCUCAAUCUUCUGAACCUACUGAAAAUGUUUAUUUUGAAAUUCCUUCGGUUUUGAUAGAGAAACUACUAGCUAAUCCUUUUACAGGAGAUGGAACAUUACAUCCUGAUAUGCACCUAACCUAUGUGGAUGAAGUUUGUGGAUUAUUUAAGCUUGCAGGUAUGCCCGAGGAUGUUAUCAAGAAUAAGGUAUUCCCUUUAUAUUUUAAGGGAAAGGCAUUGACAUGGUUUAGGCUAUGUGAUGAUAUUGGAUCAUGGAACUACAACCGAUUGAAAUUGGAAUUUCAUUAGAAGUUUUAUCCUAUGCAUCUGGUUCAUCGUGAUUGCAAUUAUAUAUAUAUAUAUAUAUAUAUAUAUAUAUAAUAUUUGGCCUCGCGAAGGAGAAAGUAUCUCUCAAGCUUGGGGGAGGCUUAAGUCAAUCUUAUAUUCAUGCCCCAAUCAUGAGCUCUCAAGAGAAAUUAUUAUUAAAAAAAAUUAUGCUCGGCUUUCUCUCAAUAAUCGUUCCAUGCUCGAUACUUCUUGUACUGGUUCUUUUAUGAUGAAGAAUGUUGUAUUCAGAUGGGAUUUAUUGGAAAGAAUUAAACGCAACUUUGAAGAUUGGGAUCUCGACGAAGGUAAGGAGUCAGGUAUAACACCUAAGUUUGAUUAUGUUAAAUCUUUUAUGGAUACCGAUGUUUUUCGUGAAUUUAGCACCAAAUAUGGACUUGACUCUGAGAUAGUAGCUUCUUUCUGUGAAUCAUUUGCUACUCAUGUUGAUCUCCCUAAAGAGAAGUGGUUUAAAUAUCAUCCACGCAUUGAAGUAAAAGUAGUUGAACCUAUUAAAGUUGAGGAAAAGACUAUCACUUAUAAUGUUGAUCCUAUUGUUCCUACUGCUUAUAUUGAGAAACCACCUUUCCCUGUUAGAAUAAAGAAUCAUGCUAAAGCUUCAACUGUGGUUCGUAAGAGUAAUGCUAGAAUACCUACACCCCCUGAGCAAAUUAAAGUUGAACCUAGUAUUUCUAUGGUUAAAUAUCUCUUGGUCGAUAAUAUUGAUGGGCAUGUUAUUUACUUCUAUGAUGAAGCUGCUAGAAUUGCUAGACCCGAUACUAAACAUAAACAUAGACCUGUUGUUGGCAUGCCUGUUGUUUCUGUUAAAAUAGGAGAUCACUGUUCAUGGCUUAUGUGAUAUGGGUGCUAGUGCCAGUGCAAUACCUCAUUCCUUAUACGAAGAAAUUAUGCAUGAUAUUGCAUGUGCUGAGAUAGAAGAUAUAGAUGUUACAAUUAAGCUUGCAAUAGAGAUACUAUUUCACCAAUUGGGAUUGUCAGAGAUGUUGAAGUCUUGUGUGGGAAUGUUAAAUAUCCUACUGAUUUUCUUGUUCUUGGUUUCCCACAAGAUAAUUUUUGUCCCAUUAUAUUUGGUAGACCCUUCUUGAAUACUGUUAAUGCUAAGAUAGAAUGCGAAAAGGAUAUUGUUACUGUUGGUUUACGACAUAUGUCUCAUGAUUUUAAUUUUGCUAAAUUCCGUAGACAACCCCAUGAUAAAGAAUUGCCUAGUAAAGAUGAAAUUAUUGGUCUGGCCUCUAUUGUUGUGCCUCCUAAUGAUCCUUUAGAACAAUAUUUGCUAGACCAUGAAAACGGUGUGUUUAUGAGUGAAAGAAGGGAAAUAGAUGAAGUAUUCUUUAAACAGGGACCCAUUUUGAAACACAACUUUCCUGUUGUAAUCCUAGGGGAUCCUCCUCCACCCAAGGGUGAUCCCAUGUUUGAGCUUAAACCAUUACCUGAUACUCUUAAAUAUGCUUAUCUUGAUGAAAAGAAGAUAUAUCCUGUUAUUAUUAGUGCUAACCUUUCAGAGCAGGAAGAAGAGAAAUUAUUGAAAACUCUAAAGAAGCACUGUGCUGCUAUUGGAUAUACUCUUGAUGAUCUUAAGGGCGUUAGCCCCACUCUAUGCUAGCACAAAAUAAAAUUGGAGAAAGAUGCUAAACCAGUUGCUGAUCACCAAUGACGGUUAAACCCUAAGAUGAAAGAAGUGGUAAGAAAUGAAAUACUAUAGCUUCUGGAGGCAGGUAUGAUUUAUCCUGUUGCCGAUAGUCAAUGGGUAACUCCCGUCCAUUGUGUCCCUAAGAAGGGAGGUAUUAUUGUUGUUCGUAAUGAUAAAGAUGAAUUGAUCCCAUAAAGAAUUAUUACAGGUUAUAGAAUGGUAAUUAAUUUCCGCAAAUUGAAUAAAGCUACUAGAAAAGAUCAUUACCCUUUACCUUUUAUUGAUCAAAUGCUAGAAAGAUUAUCCAAACAUACACAUUUUUUCUUUCUAGAUGGUUAUUCUGGUUUCUAUCAAAUACCUGUGUCAAAAGAGGAUCAGGAUAAGACCACUUUUACUUGCCCUUUCGGUACCUUUGCUUAUAGACUAUGCCUUUUGGUUUAUGCAAUGCACCUGCUACCUUUCAAAGAUGUAUGACUGCUAUAUUCUCUGACUUUUGUGCAAAGAUUGUUGAGGUUUUCAUGGAUGAUUUCUCCGUGUAUGGAACUUCUUUUGAUGAUUGCUUAAGAAACCUUGAUCGAGUUUUGCAAAGAUGCGAAGAAACUAGUCUUGUCUUGAAUUGGGAGAAGUGCCACUUUAUGGUUAAUGAAGGUAUUGUCUUGGGGCAUAAAAUUACUGAAAGAGGUAUUGAAGUUGAUAAAGGUAAGGUGGAUGCUAUUGAAAAGAUGUCGUGUCCCAAGGACAUCAAAGGUAUAAGAAGUUUUCUUGGUCAUGCCAGUUUUUAUAGGUGGUUCGUUAAAGACUUCUAAAAAAUUUCUAGGCCUCUGACUAAUCUAUUACAAAAAGUUGUUCCUUUUGUCUUUGAUGAUGAUUGUGUAGAAGCAUUUGAAAUAUUUAAGAAAGCCUUGAUUUCUACACCUAUUGUUCAGCCUCCUGAUUGGAAUUUACCCUUUGAAAUCAUGUGGGAUGCUAGUGAUUAUGCUGUAGGUGCUGUUCUAGGACAAAGAGUUGAUAAAAAAUUAAAUGUUAUCCAAUAUGCUAGUAAAACUCUAGACAGUGCCCAGGAAAUUAUGCUACUACUGAAAAAGAAUUUUUAGCAGUUGUGUUUGCUUGUGAUAAGUUCAGACCUUGUAUUGGUGAUUCCAAAGUAACUGUUCACACUGAUCAUGCUGCUAUUAAAUACCUUGUGGAGAAGAAAUAUGAUAAACCUAGACUUAUUAGAUUGGUUCUCUUGCUAAAAGAAUUUGAUUUGCAUAUUAUUGAUAGAAAGGGAGCUGAGAAUCCCGUUGCGGACAACUUAUCUAGGUUAGAGAAUGUUCUUGAUGACCCACUACCUAUUGAUGAUAGCUUUCCUGAUGAACAAUUGGCUAUCACAAAUGCUUCUCAUAUUGCUCCAUGGUAUGCUAAUUAUGCUAAUUACAUUGUUGCUAAAUUUAUACCACCUAGUUUCACAUACCAGCAAAAGAAAAUGUUUUUCUAUUAUUUAAGACAUUACUUCUGGGAUGACCCACAUCUUUAUAAAGAAAGAGUAGAUUGUGUUAUUAGAUGUUGUGUACCUGAGCAUGAACAAGAACAUAUCCUACGCAAGUGUCACUCCGAGGCAUAUGGAGGGCACCACGCUGGAGAUAGAACUGCACAUAAGGUAUUGCAAUCCGGUUUUGAUUGGCCUACUCUUUUCAAAUAUGCCUGUAAGUUUGUAUUGUCUUGCGAUGAAUGUCAAAGAAUUGGUAAUAUUAGUAGACAUCAAGAAAUGCCUAUUAACUAUUCACUUGUUAUUGAACCAUUUGAUGUUUGGGGCUUUGAUUAUAUGGGACCGUUUCCUUCCUCUAAUGGAUAUACACAUAUUUUAGUUGUUGUUGAUUAUGUUACUAACUGGGUAGAAGCUAUUCCAACUAGUAGUGUUGAUCAUAACACUUCUAUUAAGAUGCUUAAAGAAGUUAUUUUUCCGAGGUUUGGAGUCCCUUGAUACUUAAUGACUGAUGGUGGUUCACAUUUUAUUCAUGGUGCUUUUAGUAAGAUGCUUGCUAAGUACGAUGUUAAUCAUAGAAUUGCAUCUCCAUAUCAUCACAGUCUAGCGAUCAAGUAGAACUGAGUAAUAGAGAGCUUAAAUUAAUUUUGCAAAAGACUGUUAAUAGAUCUAGAAAGAAUUGGUCCAAGAAACUUGAUGAUGCAUUAUGGGCCUAUAUAACUGCAUAUAAAAAUCCUAUGGGUAUGUCUCUGUAUAAAAUGGUUUAAGGAAAAGCAUGUCACUUACCUCUCGAACUAGAACAUAAGGCAUAUUGGGCCAUUAAAGAGCUCAAUUAUGAUUUCAAACUUGCCGGUGAGAAGAGGUUAUUUGACAUAAGCUCACUUGAUGAAUGGAGAACCCAUGCUUAUGAGUAUGCCAAACUAUUUAAAGAAAAAGUUAAAAGAUGGCAUGACAAAAGGAUACAAAAGCGUGAGUUUAAUGUAGGUGAUUAUGUUUUGCUAUACAACUCUCGUUUAAGAUUUUUCGCAGGAAAACUUCUUUCUAAAUGGGAAGGUCCUUACGUUCUCGAGGAGGUCUAUCAUUUCGGUGCCAUAAAAAUCAACUACUUCGAAGGCACAAAUCCAAAGGUGGUGAACGGUCAAAGAAUCAAAAACAUUAUAUCUCAGGUAAUCCAUAAAUGUUGAAACCAAUGUUAUUGACACCGUAACCCCGGAGGAGUACAUAAGGGACACUUUCCAGAAUGUUUCAGACUCCAAAAAGGAAUAGGUAUGUGGUAUGGUAAGUAAGCCGGAUCCAAAACAGUUCUAAUAACAUUUUUUUCUCUGUUUUGGAAUAUUUAAGAAAAUAGGAAAAUAAGAAGUAGUCCGGAAAGGACACCAGGCGUCCACGAGGGUGGAGGGCGUGCCCUACCCCCCUGGGUGCGCCCCCCUGCCUCGUGGGCACCUCGUGUGCCAUCCGGACUCUGUUUUCUUGCAUGAUACUUCUUUUGGUCGGUAAAAAUUCAUUAUAUAAUCUCCCGAAGGUUUUGACCAUCGUACCAUGAUGAAAUCCUAAGUUUCUUGUUUUGAGUUGUUUCUGCCGCAGAUUAGAGAAAUUUGUUGUCCCCCUCCUCUAACGAUGUGGGCAACGAUGCUUGGCUAAUGAACAUAGAGACAAAGCGAGAAGAAAUCAGGGAAAUCAAGGAAGGUGACAAGAUCAAGGAGGUCGCAAAGGAGCAAGUCCCAACAGUAGAAGAAAUAGGCUUCUCUCAACCUUACUACAAUCAUCUCACCCCAACUGAGAUUGAAGCUUUCAAGAUGAUUGAGCUUGCUCGCAUACAAAAUAAUUAUCUCACACGUGAAAAUAUUUUGUUGCAAGAGCAUAUCAUCGCACACAAGGGCAUUAUCCGCAAGUUGGAGGAUCUCCUACGCUCGAUGUGCGACUACCUGUCUUCAACAACUCCAUGAUCACCACCUCCGAAGAAAGAGACGUAAUCACAUGGGUAUGGGCACUCCCCUUGGCAACUGCCAAUCUUGGGGGAGGUGCCCCAAUAUCGGAUCACCAACAUACUCCUAUCUUUACCAUUUUUCUUAGUUCGAUCCUUUUCGUUAUAUGUUGAUCUAGUAGAAUAAAGUUUUAGUAUGAUCUAGCUUUGAGUUUUUGUGUUGAUCCCUAUCUAUGUAAUCGAGUCCGCGAGCCAUAUAUAAUAAAGAUUAAUUUUGAGUCGAGGGCUUUGCUAUCUUGCUAUGAUCUUGAGGGAAUAAAAGGAAAGGAAAGAAUAAAAAGAAACAAAAGGAUCAUAUUGACCUUAUGGAAGGUAAUGACUUCACAUAUAAAGAGUAUGAUGAAUAAAAGUUUUUGAGAGUUGACAAACACAGUUUUGGUCAUUGUUGCAAUUAAUAGGAAGUAAUAAAGAAAGAGAGGUUGUCACAUAUAAAUAUACUAUCUUGGACAUCUUUUAUGAUUGUGAGCACUCAUUAAAGUAUGACAUGCUAAAAA
rnacentral:lncRNA from 1 species